CUCGUAGGUGGCCAACUAAGUCAGACGUGAAAUCCCUCGGCUUAACCGGGGAACUGCGUCUGAUACUGGAUGGCUUGAGUUUGGGAGAGGGACGCGGAAUUCCAGGUGUAGCGGUGAAAUGCGUAGAUAUCUGGAGGAACACCGGUGGCGAAGGCGGCGUCCUGGCCAACACUGACACUGAUGAGCGAAAGCCAGGGGAGCAAACG
rnacentral:rRNA from 1 species